rnacentral:rRNA from 1 species
UGCCAGACUCCUACGGGAGGCAGCAGUGGGGAAUAUUGCACAAUGGGGGAAACCCUGAUGCAGCAACGCCGCGUGAGUGAAGAAGUAUCUCGGUAUGUAAAGCUCUAUCAGCAGGGAAGAAGAUGACGGUACCUGAGUAAGAAGCCCCGGCUAACUACGUGCCAGCAGCCGCGGUAAUACGUAGGGGGCAAGCGUUAUCCGGAUUUACUGGGUGUAAAGGGAGCGUAGACGGCCAGGCAAGUCUGGAGUGAAAGCCCGGGGCUCAACCCCGGGACUGCUUUGGAAACUGCCAGGCUGGAGUGCUGGAGAGGCAAGCGGAAUUCCUAGUGUAGCGGUGAAAUGCGUAGAUAUUAGGAAGAACACCAGUGGCGAAGGCGGCUUGCUGGACAGUAACUGACGUUGAGGCUCGAAAGCGUGGGGAGCAAACAGGAUUAGAUACCCCAGUACUA